rnacentral:rRNA from 1 species
GAUGAACGCUAGCGGCAGGCCUAACACAUGCAAGUCGAGGGGUAGCAGGAUUAAGCUGGCUUAAUUGCUGACGACCGGCGCACGGGUGCGUAACGCGUAUGCAACCUACCUUAUACUGGGGUAUAGCCCGGAGAAAUUCGGAUUAAUCCCCCAUAGUACUAAUGAAUCGCAUGGUUUAUUAGUUAAAGCAUUGCGGUAUACGAUGGGCAUGCGUCCUAUUAGCUAGAUGGUGAGGUAACGGCUCACCAUGGCUACGAUAGGUAGGGGGCCUGAGAGGGUGGUCCCCCACACUGGUACUGAGACACGGACCAGACUCCUACGGGAGGCAGCAGUGAGGAAUAUUGGUCAAUGGGCGCAAGCCUGAACCAGCCAUGCCGCGUGCAGGAAGAAUGCCCUAUGGGUUGUAAACUGCUUUUAUUUGGGAAUAAACCUCUUUACGUGUAGAGAGCUGAAGGUACCAAAUGAAUAAGCACCGGCUAACUCCGUGCCAGCAGCCGCCGUAA